CAGGAUGUCUACAAAGUUUAUAUUAAAAUAAGAUAAUAUGGAAACGCCUCAUAUAGUAACUUGUGGUUUUGCUUGACUCGCAGGACUGUUUGUUAGGUCUGUGGGAAGGAACUACAAGACAGCU
ensembl:snoRNA